CCUCUCUGUUAGAUCUUUCAGCUUCUUCACGCUCCAUCUCCUUCAGCUCAGACACAAGAACACUCUCUGGAGGAGAGACAAAAGACCAUGCUGUGCAGCCCAAGACUGGCCUUGAACUCACAACCUUCCUGUCUCGGUCUUCCGAGUGAUGGGAUUACAGACCUGGGCCACUAGGCCCAGAUUUGAAGACUACACACAAAAGGGAGUACUGAGAAAUGACUCUGAUUUUCAAGUUGGCACUCCAGGUCUGUUUAUGGGGAAUUGUAAGCUCACUGAGAAGAACGUAUGCGAAGUCACAAGAGCCUUUGGGAUGGGGAUCAAGGAGUGUCUGCCUGACUGCACCAACUCCAGCCCCACUGGUCCCCUUCUUUUUCUCUUUUGGGCUUUCUACAUUCGCACACUUCAAUUGACAUAAAAACCUUGGGAAAGUC